AGAGAGCAGAACGCCUCGUUCUAGCACAAAGUGUUCCUCGACGCGGUUCGUGUUCUGCCGUGGUUUAUCGACAACCUGUCGCCCUACCUGAGGAUGACGUUCAAAGUGCUCGCCCUUUUCUCUUCCGCGCGCUCUGACGAAGUUAUUUUACGUGGCUGUAACAGGAACCGAACAGCCAAUCUCGAUCUUGCUGAGCGAGAGGCUCGCACAGAAACGAGCAUGUGUGACGUCGACGGGGCAACCUUUUUGUCACCGUGGUGCGGUUAUGGUCGCGUGCCGGACCGGAAUCCGUCUCUCUUGCUCUCCAGUCAGCUUCCCUUCUUUCCUGCACGUCGUGGACAGGUCCAACCUGCGUGCAGAGGAGGGUCAAUCGAGGAUUAACCUGGUUACCCCCGGGGGAUGAUACAGGAAAUGACCGUAGACGCAGGUGCCUUCCGGUUUUCUGCGAAGCGACGUUGGGACAGCGGCCCGUCGAUCGGACUUUUUGGUUUUAAUUGGGAGUUAAGAAUCUUCGUUCGUCUCUGUUCACGGGAAAUCCGAGGCACGGACGUCGCUUUCAGAGGAUACUGGAAAGGGAGGGACUCGAAGGGACAGGACUUGGUUGAAAAUCGUCGUGACGUGAAUCGGUGCUACGGUUUCGUGAAAAAUAUCGAACGAGCGGAGAAGUUCGCCCCGGCAGACCGAUUCCGACAUUCGACAAGCGUGGUGCUGAUCUUCUCUUCAGAUAUGCUUCGCCUUGGAACGAAACUUUUGCUUGUUCUUGCUUCGAAUGAUCCUCGGCAACCCUUCGGUUAAAAGCGUUUGCGUAGGUGCGACGCUUUUCGGAUUUGAAGCACCUUGUAAAAAGCCAGCAGGACAGCGUCGAAGGAUGCACCCCUUUGGACCGAAUUUUCAGAAAACUGAGGAGACGAAGACGAAAGGACGAAAGAAGACGGGUGGAGAAAAAGAGGGAACGGUGAAUCGACGCCGACAUUAUGGAAGCCUCCGUUACAAGGUCGUAACUUAGCCACUUUAGAGUUUCUCGGUUCGUGGCACGCCAUUAGGCGUCCUCUUCAGAAAAAUAAAUCUUCCCUUCCAGGAAUUCCACGCAGACUUCGGGAACCCGAAGUCCUGGGACUGAGCACGCAUAGUCGACACCCCCGCGUCGAGGAAAAUGGACUCGUCCAGCAGGGGUGGCUACUGCUAACCCCCUCCACCAUUCGUUUCUCCCUUCCUCUUACGAUCUUGCUCCGGUUCCACCAAGGGCGGCUCGAAUUUGUUCGAAACCCUGACGCGUCGAUCCUGUUACCUUCAGGAGUAACCAUUCCUUUCUUUUUAAAUAUCUAAAAAAAAGGCAUUUGGAGUCGAGGAAGCCGAAGAAACGAAAUCCAAGGAGAUCCGAUUCCCAGACGGAGAGGACGCCGGGGAGAAAAGCGAGGAACGAGAAAAGAAAACAAUCCGAAUCCGGCUGCGUAGCUGUCAUCAAAGACGUCCCGUCACGAUUGCGAGUCACGAAGAAACCGAACGAAUCCACAUUAAAAGAGCCGAGAAGAUGAGCGAGCGAUACGGGAAACGAAGAAAGCGGCCGGUAAUCGUCGUCCUCCAGUGAACCGUUUCGCGAGAAGAAUCCGAGUGGACGGCUCGACAAAAGCGACGGAGUUUUACACAAAAUUUUAUUCGACUCAUUGCUGUCCACGGAAUGAUCUCCAUUUCCUCGUGAAAGCUGUUGCACGAUCGCAAAUAUAAUUCAAACGUAAGUCAUACUUUCAUUUUAUACCAAAUCUUCCCUCACUUUUGGUCAUAGUUAACUAACAGAACGUCUGGUUUCGCUUACAUGAGUCGUCAUCGGUUCGAUACGAAACCCUGCAAUUCGACCAGUAAUUCUCACCGAUCGAACGACGAACGAGGAUCCUGCUCACCUUCCAUUGGUUAAUCCUAAACAAUUUAUCCGAGAAUUUGGUCCACGUCGGUUGAAAAGGAACAUUGCGCUCCUCUGGCCUACGCGAACCGUUUCCAAACGCUGAAUGGACGCGGAACGCAUACAAUCGGCGCAUUGUAGCGUUCCUGGGAGAACUUCGAGCUCUCUCGAUGCACCUACGGGAAUAAUAUUUACUUCCGGCCGUUCGACAUCCGGCCUGCUCGUAACACUCGUCCUCGAGGGUAACACGAAACCGUGACGGCUACGUGGAAUGGUUUUUCCCGGUUCGACGGACUGUUUCGCGACGGGGUGUUUGCUCGAGGUUGGAGGAGGUGGACGAAGGAAGAAGGAAAAAAAUUGCGGCUUUCCAUUGACGAGGCGUAGACCGCAACCAGGAAUCGAAAGGGGAAGAAAUUAUACGUUCCGCGUUUAAUCGAAUUCGAGAGCCGACAGGGAAGGAACGCGCGCCGCAAAUUACGCGACGAUGAGUUCCCUUUUUUUCUCUCCCCUCCUCCCGGGGUGUCGAGGCGAGAACAACCCUUUUUCCUCGGGUUUCUGGGUGUCCGCGGGGUGCAACUGUUGCGUUCCCUUUGGAUUGCCGGCGGUCGAGCUUUGUUGGCGAGCAGGGAAGACGCGAGCUGCGCGGCGAUCGUAAUUUGGGCCAGGUUUGAAAUUUAAUCGCGCCUGGAGACCUGGAGACUUGAAUGCCUGCGCGAGCGGCGAGAGUGCGCGCUCGACAACUAUGUACAAUAGGUUUCCGUCGUUCGAGCGCUGGUGGGCUUGAUAUUUUUUAGCGGAGAUAUUAGUUGUGUUUGCAUUGAGCGUGCAUGCAUCCGAAGUCCAGCUUUCUCUUAUACACAUAUCUACGUUUUCUUUGCGAUAAGUUGAUACAAUUCACGCAUGAAUAUCUUGUCAAUAUCAAUCGUUAUUUUUACUUCCAACCAUUGAUUUCUCCAGAAAUAGUCGUUGCAAGCGAUUCGAUAAUGACAAGACGGGGGACUCGAAACACGGAAAAGUAGAAGUUUUCACCCGGUUGACCUCGAUGUGGCAACGGCACGAUAAUUAGGCGACCUUGAUCGAACGGGGCAAGCCACGAUUGUUGGCGAGGCGAAACAUCGAAAAGGCGGCGGAACGGAAAUACGAGAAACGACGAGUGAGAGAAACGAUCGAGUAAGGUCCAUUUACUGUUGGCUGUUGCAAAAAGCAUUGAUGAUCCCUCCAAGCACAAAGAGCAAUGAUAGAGAGCAACAGAUAAGUGCAAUUCGAGUUGCAAAACGUUGCGGGCCAUGAGGAGGGCAUUACGGCCGCUCGCAAAUUACCUAGCCGGUAAUCAUAAUGCGAUCGUAAUGCAACGCGAAUGGCUUGAUUUCGAGCGCGAGCCUCGCCAUUGCGAGAUAAGCCGCGGUCAUUAUGCGAAAUUAGCGAUUAUCGGAGGUAAUUCGUAAUUAUUAUUCGUCGUAAUAUAGAUUCGCUGAGACCACGCCGAGGAACGUUUAUAAAAUCAUUAAACCGAAGAGGCAAUGGUAUAUGAAAGAAUUAGAAAACAUUUCUUAAUUUUAUUAUUUUUAUUAUUACAAAAAUUUAUCUACCUUCGUUACACGCGAAUAUUUUAACCCUCUAUGGGCCCCAUGUAUCUUUCAGAUCACGUAUCGAGGUUCAAACGGUAUUGUUUCGUCAAAUAAUUCUAGUUUCUUUCACAAGCUGACGUAUAUGUCUUAAAAUAUUAAAUUAAGCCUUUGCGAGUUGUUUGCAGACAACAAAAUUCGGCCCAUAGA